UGCCAGACUCCUACGGGAGGCAGCAGUGAGGAAUAUUGGUCAAUGGGCGGAAGCCUGAACCAGCCAAGUCGCGUGAGGGAAGAAGGCCCUGCGGGUCGCAGACCUCUUUGGACGGGGAGCAAGGCCGCCGACGUGUCGGCGGAAGGAGAGUACCCGUAGAACAAGCAUCGGCUAACUCCGUGCCAGCAGCCGCGGUAAUACGUAGGGGGCGAGCGUUAUCCGGAUUCAUUGGGCGUAAAGCGCGCGUAGGCGGCCUGUUAGGUCGGGGGUCAAAUGCCGGGGCUCAACCCCGGUCCGCCCCCGAUACCGGCAGGCUUGAGUCUGGUAGGGGAAGGCGGAAUUCCCAGUGUAGCGGUGGAAUGCGCAGAUAUUGGGAAGAACACCGGCGGCGAAGGCGGCCUUCUGGGCCACGACUGACGCUGAGGCGCGAAAGCUAGGGGAGCGAACAGGAUUAGAUACCCCUGUA
rnacentral:rRNA from 1 species